rnacentral:tRNA from 1 species
GGAAUAGUGACGCAGUGGUUAGCGUGGUGAGUCCUACCGCACCCAUUGCAUUCUCGAUGCGAAAGUCCCGAGUUCGACUCUCGGUUGGGCUAUUUUA